rnacentral:tRNA from 1 species
GGGGUUGCGCCGAGUUGGCCCGAGGCAUCGGUUCGGGUCGUCCUUGGGAGAAGGUCAGGGGUUCGAAUCCCCUCAGCUCCA